rnacentral:sRNA from 1 species
GGUUUAAUUACCCAAGUUUAAGACAAUUGAAUGUUUCGGCCUGGAGUUUAAGCUACUGCGGCUUGAAAAUUUGGAACGUCAUGCAUGUUUGUGGGACAAU